rnacentral:rRNA from 1 species
GACGAACGCUGGCGGCGUGCUUAACACAUGCAAGUCGAACGGAAAGGCCCUGCUUUUGUGGGGUGCUCGAGUGGCGAACGGGUGAGUAACACGUGAGUAACCUGCCCUUGACUUUGGGAUAACUUCAGGAAACUGGGGCUAAUACCGGAUAGGAGCUCCUGCUGCAUGGUGGGGGUUGGAAAGUUUCGGCGGUUUGGGAUGGACUCGCGGCUUAUCAGCUUGUUGGUGGGGUAGUGGCUUACCAAGGCUUUGACGGGUAGCCGGCCUGAGAGGGUGACCGGCCACAUUGGGACUGAGAUACGGCCCAGACUCCUACGGGAGGCAGCAGUGGGGAAUAUUGCACAAUGGGCGGAAGCCUGAUGCAGCAACGCAGCGUGCGGGAUGACGGCCUUCGGGUUGUAAACCGCUUUCGCCUGUGACGAAGCGUGAGUGACGGUAAUGGGUAAAGAAGCACCGGCUAACUACGUG